AACGAACGCUGGCGGCAGGCUUAACACAUGCAAGUCGAGCGCCCCGCAAGGGGAGCGGCAGAAGGGUGAGUAACGCGUGGGAAUCUACCCAUCCCUACGGAAUAGCUCCGGGAAACUGGAAUUAAUACCGUAUACGCCCUACGGGGGAAAGAUUUAUCGGGAAUGGAUGAGCCAGCGUUGGAUUAGCUAGUUGGAGGGGUAAAGGCCUACCAACGCGACGAUCCAUAGCUGGUCUGAGAGGAUGAUCAGCCACAUUGGGACUGAGACACGGCCCAAACUCCUACGGGAGGCAGCAGUGGGGAAUAUUUGACAAUGGGGGCAACCCUGAUCCAGCCAUGCCGCGUGAGUGAUGAAGGCCUUAGGGUUGUAAAGCUCUUUCACCGGGGAAGAUAAUGACGGUACCCGGAGAAGAAGCCCCGGCUAACUUCGUGCCAGCAGCCGCGGUAAGAC
rnacentral:rRNA from 1 species